AUUCGUCAAUGCGGUGAGACAUUUAAACUAACCGUACAUUCCAUCGCAGAAAGCGACUGCGGCUUUAUAAAUUAAACUGAUUGAAGAAUGUGAAAGGAGAA
rnacentral:ncRNA from 1 species